rnacentral:lncRNA from 1 species
GCUAUUUUCAAAACAAAAUCCACCCUUUUGUUUAGUGCAGGCUGUCUCUAAAACCUAAAAACAGGAAAUACAUUGCUUUUACUGUAGGCUAGAAGAAAACCUAUUUCCCUGGCUGAAAAUUAAGGGUUUGCUUUUUUUUUGUUUGCUUUGCAAGUGUCUUAAUGGCAUGGCUGCGUUGUAUGUUUUCUCUCAGGACACUGUUCAGGCUAGAAUAGUUUCCAGUCUCCCUUUCUCCUAAAUGGAAUAAGGGAGAGGAAGAAAUAGAGAACUCAAAGGAUUCAAACCCAGAAACUGUGCCCUCUCGCCCUUCAAAAAGAGACUGUAGAAAACACACAGCUCUCCCUUGAAGGCUGGAGGAACAGCUGAUGUGCUACUCUUAUCAGUUAUUCCUAACAGCUGAGAAAUCUGAUCAAGCUGGUCAAUAAUUGAGCACAGGGGCACAGCCUGCCUGUGUGCUGCAUAAAAGUGGAUUUCCUGGGGGCAGCAGCUGGAGUGGCCAGGUGGGCAGGAAGGAAGGAGAUGUUUGCUGUCUGCUGCAAAAGGUUUGUUGGCCUUGGAAUAGCCACGCAGUCAGGGCUGGAGGGUCUACUGUACCUGUUCUUGCUUCAGUUUCAGAUAUGCUGUGCUGCUGUUCUGGUUUCUUCAGGGGAACGGAGAAAUAACAUUGUUUGUUCAGACUUGGUGAGAGAGAUGGGAAUACAUUGUACGUUGGUGGAAGAAGACAUAUGCCACGCCAACAAAGGAGGUCCUGGACUUCAAUGA